AUGGCGGCUUAUGGAAGCACACGAGACGGUCCGUUGGAGAAGAAGAGGAAGAAGGUGGUUGCGUGGAGCCAAGAGGACGAUGUCUCGUCGCCUGAUCCUGCUUCCUACUACUUGGCCAAGAAGAUGGAACAGGCCAGACGCGAUGAAGAAUCAGCUCCCCGCCCUGUGAACAUCCCCACGCUCGAUCACUUCACACCCCCGACCAGGUUCCACACCGCCCAGCUCUUCUCCGUCCGUGAAUCUGGAAGCCAGGCCGUGCUCUCCGCUGCCAAAUUUCUCCUAGGAGUAUCAUCCUCUCUUGAUGGUGAACCGCUGAGACGCUGCUCCGGCUUCUGGGUCGAUUGGGAUGAGGAGAAGAAAACCGGCCUUGUUUUGACUACUGCGCGACUCAUUCGCACAAAGGAUGCUCCUGACAACGUCUCCUCAGGCGGCGAACAGUAUGCCCCUCGUGCUGAUGCUACUACAGGAUUGGCUGGUCAGCCAUGCAAAACAAAACAGAGCACUGGAGCACUAAGAGCAAGGGAUGGAACAAAACCAAUAAAAAAGAGAAGGAACCAUACCAUGGAUCAGCUUGGUACACAUGGUGUCUAUUAA
rnacentral:rRNA from 1 species